GACGAACGCUGGCGGCGUGCUUAACACAUGCAAGUCGAACGGAAAGGCCCUGCUUUUGUGGGGUGCUCGAGUGGCGAACGGGUGAGUAACACGUGAGUAACCUGCCCUUGACUUUGGGAUAACUUCAGGAAACUGGGGCUAAUACCGGAUAGGAGCUCCUGCUGCAUGGUGGGGGUUGGAAAGUUUCGGCGGUUGGGGAUGGACUCGCGGCUUAUCAGCUUGUUGGUGGGGUAGUGGCUCACCAAGGCUUUGACGGGUAGCCGGCCUGAGAGGGUGACCGGCCACAUUGGGACUGAGAUACGGCCCAGACUCCUACGGGAGGCAGCAGUGGGGAAUAUUGCACAAUGGGCGGAAGCCUGAUGCAGCAACGCCGCGUGCGGGAUGACGGCCUUCGGGUUGUAAACCGCUUUCGCCUGUGACGAAGCGUGAGUGACGGCAAUGGGUAAAGAAGCACCGGCUAACUACGUG
rnacentral:rRNA from 1 species